rnacentral:rRNA from 1 species
UACAGAGGUCUCAAGCGUUGUUCGGAUUCAUUGGGCGUAAAGGGCUCGUAGGCGGCCAACUAAGUCAGACGUGAAAUCCCUCAGCUUAACUGGGGAACUGCGUCUGAUACUGGAUGGCUUGGAUUUGGGAGAGGGAUGCGGAAUUCCAGGUGUAGCGGUGAAAUGCGUAGAUAUCAGGAGGAACACCAAUGGCGAAGGCAGCUCGCUGGGACGUGACUGACGCUGAGACGCGAAAGCGUGGGGAGCAAACAGG